AGUCCCUCACAGGUAGAGAAUGU
rnacentral:piRNA from 1 species